UUCUUUUCUCUUCCUGUUUUCUUUUGGUCUUAUGUUAUAGUUUUUGUUCCUUUUUUUGUUUUUCUCACUAGCAUUCAUUCUGUGGCCUUGAAGACUCCCAUGCGCCGAGAACUCGGGCUAGACAACGAACUUCUGGAAUCACCCGAGUCCCCGUGGUGCCCCAUCCUCACUCAAACCAAAAUCCAACAGUGCAACAAAGCUAUUCCAAGUCCGGAGCCUGAACACAGAACUUAUGCACAAUUGACAGUCACUUGAAGGGGAGGCCUGGGGACCUGGCCAGCCUCUGCUGUGGAAUUCUGCAGGACAAUGGCAAGCCUCCCCAGUAUCCCCACUGUGACGUCUCCAAGAGCCAAGGGCAAAGGUGGAUCUGGAUGGCAGAAAUUUAAGUGCAAUUAGUGGAAACCCAGGACAUGGGAGCUGCUGCCUUGGGGAAUAGGCACAGGCCCUGUGUCCAUGCUGUGUGUCUCCCUGAAGGCAUUACAUGUGCCUAGAUGGACUCAGACAGCCCCUCUGCCCUGUGUACAUAAAUCUCCAUGGACUGAGUGUGUUCUUCUGGAUUCUGUCUGUCAGAGCAACCAACGAAACCUCUGAGGCCAUGCACAGCUGGACUUGCAGCUGGUGACCAGCAAGGGAGAGUUAGAGUCGCCAACGUGGGGAACCCUGUGCAUUGUAGACUUCUGAGAAAAGCCGAAGGUUCCGACACUCACAUAGGUGUGACACUGCAUAAGUCCCAGAGCAUGGCUGUGCCCCAGACCAGGGAGGAGCGAGGACUGAGAAAACAGACCUAAGCUAUCUGUUGUAAUGUGUAGGGGCAUCCUGAAAAGGGGCUCGGGCUGGUAGUGCAGUACCCAGAGGCUCUGAGUUCCGAGGUCGAAGCCAUGGGCACCCUUUACCAUAGAAAGCCUUCACUUCCCAGGAUACUUGGUGGAGAGCAGAGUCUUCUCCUCAGGCGUUGGAGCCUCCCAGAGCACAGGGGGGUAGCGCAGGGUUGGUGUACCCUAAGUUCACUGAGAACUAGAUGCUGGAAGUUGACUUCCAGAGGAAAUUUCCCAAGAAAUAAUGUUGGGAUGCUCCUAUCAAUCUAGAACAGGUAGGGCACCUCCAAAAGGUAUCUGCCUAUGUGGCUAUACUCUUUCAAACUCAGGGUGGAGAGAAUGUUAGCCCUCAGGUUGACAGUGUGGAAAAGGAUGGGAUGUGGAGGAGCCUGUGGUGAGUCGAGAGGGGACGUGGCGGCAGCAGCCACUUGAAGCCUCUUGCUGUGUAGUUACAGGACCACGUGGGUAGCACCAUGACUUCCUGGAAGCAAGCAGAAAGAUUAGAGUUCAGAUCAGGCCCAUUAAGGGAACUAUGGAGCAGGGACCUGACAUUGUAGGGAAGCCAGGUCCAAAGACAGAGAUGCAAAGACAGUGCUCUGAACAGAAGAGGGGCUGUCCAGACAGGAGGUCAUUCCAGCAGAUAUGACGUCUCCAGCUUGAAGCAAACACGGCAGGAUGGCUCAGAAGUGUUGACUCUCUGCUGAAUUCUGAGUUCCCCAACACCCAUGACCCACAAGCCCAGCCUCUGCGACUUACCAAUACCUAGUGGCUUAAUUAAAUCCCAAGGAACCUAUCUUUGA